AAUCAACGCUGGCGGCGUGCCUAACACAUGCAAGUCGCACGAGAAAGUGGAGCAAUCCAUGAGUACAGUGGCGCACGGGUGAGUAACACGUGAAUCAUCUACCUUCGAGUGGGGAAUAACUGAGAGAAAUCUUAGCUAAUACCGCAUAACACUUACGAGUCAAAGCAGCAAUGCGCUUGAAGAGGAGUUCGCGGCAGAUUAGUUAGNGGCGGGGUAAUGGCCCACCAAGACGAUGAUCUGUAUCCGGCCUGAGAGGGCGCACGGACACACUGGAACUGAAACACGGUCCAGACUCCUACGGGAGGCAGCAGUGGGGAAUUUUGCGCAAUGGGGGAAACCCUGACGCAGCAACGCCGCGUGGGAGGAUGAAGCCCCUUGGGGUGUAAACUCCUUUCGUUCGGGAAGAUAAUGACGGUACCGAAAUAAGAAGCCCCGGCUAACUUCGUGCCAGC
rnacentral:rRNA from 1 species